rnacentral:misc_RNA from 1 species
GAUGAAGAACGCAGCGAAAUGCGAUAAGUAGUGUGAAUUGCAGAAUUCAGUGAAUCAUCGAAUCUUUGAACGCACAUUGCGCCCCUUGGUAUUCCAUGGGGCAUGCCUGUUCGAGCGUCAUUUCUACCUUCAAGCUUUGCUUGGUGUUGGGUGUUUGUCUCGCCUUUGCGUGUAGACUCGCCUUAAAAUAAUUGGCAGCCGGCGUAUUGAUUUCGGAGCGCAGUACAUCUCGCGCUUUGCACUCAUAACGACAGCGUCCAAAAGUACAUUUUACACUCUUGACCUCGGAUCAGGUAGGGAUACCCGCUGAACUUAAGCAUAUCAAUAAGCGGAGGA